AGAUAUGGGUAGAUGGCUCUGUUAGGCAGAAGUGUCAGAGCUGGUUAUAGGAAAACCAGGCGGCACAUACAUGAUCCCAGACACCGAAGUAACCUCUGUCUCACUCCUCCACUUCCAGCAAGGGAUGGAAAACAAACUGAAACUGGCUCAAGUGAAUGCUCACUGGAAGGCUUACUGGAAAACUUACUGGAAGGAUGUGAGGACAUGUUCGGGAAUCUAUUUGCAGAAAACAUAUUCAGCCCUGUCCACCACAGCCAGCUGGCUGAAGAGCUCAAAAGGCAAGAAAUCAGCAAGAGAGAGAGAUGAAGCAUGAGAAAUGAGCAAAAAACACCCAGCACAUCAUAAUCUUGGACAGUUUAGCAGUACAUGAAAAUAGAUGGUCCUCGCCCCAAGGGACUGCAGUAACCCUGAAUAAACAGGAUGUCUCUCACUUUUAGCAGUUCUUUCUGUGCUAGUAUUGGGGAAAUAUAUUUUUGGCUGCAUGCAAAAUGGUAAAAGACAUCUAUUAAGAAAAUGAAAACAAUGCUUCUGUUUUAGACGAAGCUUUUGAAGGUUUAAGGAUCACCUAUUUAUUGACAAAAUUGUUUCCGUGGCUUAAAAAUAAAAUACAAACAAAUACUACAGGUA
ensembl:lncRNA LINC01564 long intergenic non-protein coding RNA 1564